rnacentral:rRNA from 1 species
GACGCACGCUGGCGGCGUGCAUAAUACAUGCAAGUAGGACGCAGUUGCGCACGGGUGAGUAACUCGUAGGUAACUACCUAGUAGCGGGGGCUAACUAUUGGAGACGAUAGCUAAUACCGCCUACUAGUAGAUGGACCUGCGUUGUAUUAGCUAGUAGGUAGGGUAAUGGCCUACCUAGGCAACGAUACAUACCCGACCUGAGAGGGUGCUCGGCCACACUGGGACGGAACCACUGCCCAGACUCCGACGGCAGGCAGUAGUAGGGAGUCUGCGGCAAUGGUGGGAACCCUGACCGAGCGACGCAGCGCGAGUGAGGAAGGUUUUCGGAUCGGCAGGCGCUGGUGGUAAGGAAGCGGUACUAAACCAGAAAGGGACGGCUAACGACGUGCCAGCAGCCGCGGUAAUUC